GCCCCAUCAGACCCGGGCUUCCUGCUGCUGUGCCAUCCGCUGACGCUGUUUGGUGGCCUUGGGUCAAGCCAAGUUUUGCCACCAAAAUUUGACAGAGCCAAGAGCCUGAAGAUGCUUCUGCUGUCCUGCACAUGCUCGGUGACCUGAAGGGGAUCUAGACAAGUUUCUCCUUAGCAGUUCCCAAGCUAUUCUUUCUCUCAUGCCUUGCUGCUCCCAGAAGAAAGGGCAGCUCUUGGAGGACACUAGUCCUGAGAAAGCCUGUUGGAUUGCCACAGCCCACUUGACUUCUCCAAUCCCAAAUUCUUCUGCUUUUAACAUAGGCAGUAGGCUGGCAGCUGGCACUUGUGAGAGCUGAGGAGGGAUUGUUUUCAGGCUGAGACAUGUGAGAAAAGAAGAGACUGAUAAUACAGAUGGAACAGAAGAAAAUGUCAAGUGAUUAAACAGCUGUACAUGAAUGCAGAUGCAGCUUAUGAGAUUGACUGUCGCCUGCUGGAUAGAGAGAUGGAAAGAAAAAUUGCAUUCACCUGCAUCAGGAUUGCAAAUCCCACCCUUCUGCCUGCAUAUUUUAAAUUGCAUUUCUUACUUCUUUUGAGCCUUCCCAUGUGUAAACUUUCACAGAGCUCUGUACUGCACCUUUAUAGCCCCAGAGUCUCUGUUUUUUUUUUUUUUUUUUUUUUUUUUGGGGGGGGGGGGGGGGCGGGGGAAGAAAUCCUACAAAAUAAAAUGUAUGCAGUCAAAUGAGCUCUUUGCCAUGCCAGUGUGUUCUUUGGCUCAUGUGUCUGCGGUACAUUCUUGUAUAUGCAUGACUUUAAGUGCCAGAGUUAAUGUACACAGAUGAGGAAAAAUUUGCAGGUAACUGUGCAGAUAAAAAAUGCAUCAAGCAGGAUGUGCCUCCAAAGAUGGAAUAAUUUGGGCUGCUUUCUUGAAACAUCCUCUUAUUACAGUGGCUUUGAUGCUUUCUCUGUGCUGCAGCUCAUGAGCAGGCUCUAUGGAUAACUGAGCAGGUCUUUCUGUGCUCACAC